AAGAUAACACUAUUGUUGUAGUAGGCAGGAGGGGUUUUGAAUGAUCUUCAUGAGACUUGACCUCUUCAAUCAGACAGGCUUUGACCAUCCUUGCUCAAAGACAACGCUGCACUUAGACUAUGCCUGUAGCCCAAGUCAGGUAGCGCCUGGUGCCGAGCGCUCCCCCCCUGCCCCCAAGUCUUCACGCGCUCGAACAUCUCCGUUUGGCCUCAUUUUUGUGCUUCGGUGGUAUCUGCACAGCCCAAAUUAGCAGCGAGGAUUCCACGGACGGGGGCCGCUGCCUCCCUGGGC